CGUGUAGGUGGUUCGGUAAGUAGGGCGUGAAAGCUCCCGGCUCAACUGGGAGAGGCCGUUCUAAACUGCCGAGCUAGAGGAUGGUAGAGGGAGGUGGAAUUCCGAGUGUAGCGGUGGAAUGCGCAGAUAUUCGGAGGAACACCAGUGGCGAAGGCGGCCUCCUGGACCAUUCCUGACACUCAGACGCGAAAGCUAGGGUAAGGCAAACG
rnacentral:rRNA from 1 species